GUGGGGAAUUUUGGACAAUGGGCGCAAGCCUGAUCCAGCAAUGCCGCGUGCAGGAAGAAGGCCUUCGGGUUGUAAACUGCUUUUGUACGGAACGAAACGGUCCUGGUUAAUACCUGGGGCUAAUGACGGUACCGUAAGAAUAAGCACCGGCUAACUACGUGCCAGCAGCCGCGGUAAUACGUAGGGUGCGAGCGUUAAUCGGAAUUACUGGGCGUAAAGCGUGCGCAGGCGGUGCUGUAAGACAGGCGUGAAAUCCCCGGGCUCAACCUGGGAAUUGCGCUUGUGACUGCAGUGCUGGAGUACGGCAGAGGGGGAUGGAAUGCCGCGUGUAGCAGUGAAAUGCGUAGAUAUGCGGAGGAACACCGAUGGCGAAGGCAAUCCCCUGGGCCUGCACUGACGCUCAUGCACGAAAGCGUGGGGAGCAAACAGGAUUAGAAACCCCAGUAGUCC
rnacentral:rRNA from 1 species